AGUGUAAUUUGCAAUUAUUUGUCUGCUUUAUUUUGUGUAAAGAGUCUGGAAACACGAUUUUCAGCAUGGCUUGCAAAGCAUGUAUGGGCAAGUUUUAAGAGCAUAUUUGUACACCACCCCAGCUUUCAUUCCUACAAUGGUCUUUGUUAACUGGCAUCACCUAUGAUCAUUUCAUUUUAGUCCAUUUGUGGCUUUAUAUUUCAGACAUCC
rnacentral:lncRNA from 12 species